GUUUAUUCAUGUCUACUAUCCAAUGUGAUUCGUGUGCUUAUAUGAUUACCUUGAAUGCGAUUUGGAACGAAUUUCCUAAAUCUCAUUCAUACUCUGGCCAGAGAUUCUAAAUCAUAUCAUAGAGUAUUCUCCCCCAAACGGUUUGAAGGUUAGAGAUCCCUUGUUGCGCAUUCACUUGCCUCCAUAGCUAAGUGGCUUAACCCUAACGAUGCCGUGGACACCCGCGGAUGGGGUGACUUUGACAUAAUCAAAGAUCAAGGACUUAACCACAAGACAAACGUGAUGCCUCUGGUCAAAGGAUUACUUUGCAUUAUCCCAACCAUGAGUUCUCAUGUGACAUGAAUAUGAGAACUCUUCGUUGAUCGUGUUCAGUGAACUCAUUCUCUAUUGAGCACCGACGUACUUGUCUUGAUGUCACACACACCAAUGACUCGAGAGUAGUCACUCUCCCUGAGAGAAUACACAGCACGUACUGAUCUUAACGGACUGUCAAUGCCCAAUUGGCAAUCCUAUGAUCAUGAACGUUUAGGAUGUGUCUACGAAAGAAUGGUCUCAUGAAUCUAACUUCUUUAGAUCGCAUUCUCCCAAUC
rnacentral:lncRNA from 1 species